UCCCUGGUGGUCCACUGGUUAGGACUCUGCCUUCACUGCCAAGGGUCUGGGUUCAAUUCCUGGUCAGGGAA
rnacentral:tRNA from 1 species